rnacentral:rRNA from 1 species
UACGAAGGGGGCUAGCGUUGUUCGGAAUUACUGGGCGUAAAGCGCACGUAGGCGGAUUUGUAAGUCAGGGGUGAAAUCCCGGGGCUCAACCUCGGAACUGCCUUUGAUACUGCAAGUCUCGAGUCCGAUAGAGGUGAGUGGAAUUCCUAGUGUAGAGGUGAAAUUCGUAGAUAUUAGGAAGAACACCAGUGGCGAAGGCGGACUCACUGGAUCGGUACUGACGCUGAGGUGCGAAAGCGUGGGGAGCAAACAGG